rnacentral:rRNA from 1 species
AGAGUUUGAUCCUGGCUCAGGAGGAACGCUGGCGGCGUAGCCUAACACAUGCAAGUCGAGCGAUCUUCUUCGGAAGAGAGCGGCGGACGGGUGAGUAACGCGUGGGUAACCUGCCUCAUACACAUGGAUAACAUACCGAAAGGUAUGCUAAUACAAGAUGAUAUAAGAGAUUCGCAUGGAUUCUUAUCAAAGCUCCGGCGGUAUGAGAUGGACCCGCGUCUGAUUAGCUAGUUGGUAAGGUAAUGGCUUACCAAGGCGACGAUCAGUAGCCGACCUGAGAGGGUGAUCGGCCACAUUGGAACUGAGACACGGUCCAAACUCCUACGGGAGGCAGCAGUGGGGAAUAUUGCACAAUGGGCGAAAGCCUGAUGCAGCAACGCCGCGUGAGCGAUGAAGGCCUUCGGGUCGUAAAGCUCUGUCCUCAAGGAAGAUAAUGACGGUACUUGAGGAGGAAGCCCCGGCUAACUACGUG